UACGUAGGGGGGCUAGCGUUGUCCGGAUUUAUUGGGCGUAAAGAGCGUGUAGGCGGCCAAGUAGGUCCGGUGUGAAAACUCGAGGCUCAACUUCGAGCUGUCGGUGGAAACUUUCUGGCUAGAGUCCGGAAGAGGAGAAUGGAAUUCCUGGUGUAGCGGUGAAAUGCGCAGAUAUCAGGAAGAACACCCGUGGCGAAGGCGGGUCUCUGGGCCGAUACUGACGCUGAGGAGCGAAAGCGUGGGGAGCGAACAGG
rnacentral:rRNA from 1 species